rnacentral:rRNA from 1 species
ACCUAUGGCCAUGCUGCCCUGAACACACCGGAUCUCGUCUGAUCUCGGAGGCUAAGUAGGGUCGGGCCUGGUUAGUACUUGGAUGGGAGACCACCUAGGAAGACUGGGUUCUGUGGGCA